rnacentral:rRNA from 1 species
GAUGAACGCUGGCGGCGUGCCUAAUACAUGCAAGUCGAGCGAACAGAUGAGGAGCUUGCUCCUCUGACGUUAGCGGCGGACGGGUGAGUAACACGUGGAUAACCUACCUAUAAGACUGGGAUAACUUCGGGAAACCGGAGCUAAUACCGGAUAAUAUAUUGAACCGCAUGGUUCAAUAGUGAAAGACGGUUUUGCUGUCACUUAUAGAUGGAUCCGCGCCGCAUUAGCUAGUUGGUAAGGUAACGGCUUACCAAGGCAACGAUGCGUAGCCGACCUGAGAGGGUGAUCGGCCACACUGGAACUGAGACACGGUCCAGACUCCUACGGGAGGCAGCAGUAGGGAAUCUUCCGCAAUGGGCAAAAGCCUGACGGAGCAACGCCGCGUGAGUGAUGAAGGUCUUCGGAUCGUAAAACUCUGUUAUUGGGGAAGAACAAAUGUGUAAGUAACUAUGCACGUCUUGACGGUACCUAAUCAGAAAGCCACGGCUAACUACGUG